rnacentral:lncRNA from 1 species
ACACAGGGAUCACAUUUACGAAGGGAUCUUUCAAGAGCCUCAAAAGCAGGACUACUUCAUGAGCCAACUCGUAGUGACAAGCCCUGCCCCUGCAAGUGAGAAGGGGGGCGCUUCCAAAUCAAGCACCAUUUGUCAAGGAAAAACAGGUUGCAUCCUUGCAUUAAAGGAGAAUGGGAACCAGGCUAGAGCCAAAGAUCUUCCAGCCUUUCUCUGGAAUGGACCGAAUAUGGAAUAACAUGGACAUGUCUGAUGCACAUCUGGAGAUGGGACGGCAGCGCAUAAUACUUCCUGGAACUGCGAGACAAUGGGGUUGUCUUUUGACAUUGAGGCAGGUUAUUAAAUAGAAGUGUGAACUAUUAAGAGAUGAUCUUGACCCUCAAUACAUUUUUAUCAAAGUCAAAAAAUAUUUGACACCACUGAACAGCUUAUCACAGGCACAAAAGGGGAAAUGCUUUAUUAUGGAAAUGUGUACUAUGUUCUUCAAAACAGAAGAAUAAAAAUAUAUGCAUUUUUAAAUGAAUAACAGCUUGUAAGACUCCCAAUGAUUAACAGCAGUUGUACAUUAAGUAUUCUCUGAAAUGAUAUUUGUAAACUGGAGGGUUGACCAAUCUUAGUGCGAACUUCCU